ensembl:lncRNA
AAUGCACUGCUGCAUAGCAGUCCAUCUAGGGCGUGUGCUUGUGGAAGACUGAGGUUGCAGCAGAUGUCUCAGCUGAAAUUAACUCGUCUCUCCUGAGAAAUGGAGCUUCUCCAUACAGACUGCCAGUUGAGUUACCAGCUUCGUGAAAGAAGAGUGGGCACUACGAGAAACACAGUCCAACUCCCACCCCCUGUCUGCAUGCUCCAGCCACUUACUUUGGCCUUGCUGUGGGACACUGCCACCCCUGGGGGAACUGAUUCAACACUAAGUAGAAGAAAAUAAGCCCAGCAAAGAAGUGGGAGAUCUUCUUCUAUUUUGUGAGAUAAAUUGCCACAGCAAGGGUCCCAGGAGCAUCACAGCUAGCACAAGAGAAGGGAUGACACU